CGAAGGGGGCUAGCGUUGUUCGGAAUUACUGGGCGUAAAGCGCACGCAGGCGGUCCGAUUAGUCAGAAGUGAAAGCCCCGGGCUCAACCUGGGAACUGCUUUUGAUACUGUCGGGCUUGAAUCACGGAGAGGGUAGUGGAAUUCCGAGUGUAGAGGUGAAAUUCGUAGAUAUUCGGAAGAACACCAGUGGCGAAGGCGACUACCUGGCCGUCGAUUGACGCUCAUGUGCGAAAGCGUGGGGAGCAAACAGGAUUAGAUACCCUGGUAGUCCACGCCGUAAACGAUGGGUGCUAGUUGUUGGGGUACAUGUACCUCAGUGACGCAGCUAACGCGUUAAGCACCCCGCCUGGGGAGUACGGCCGCAAGGUUA
rnacentral:rRNA from 1 species